CAUCUGUUCUGCGUGUGGCUCUCUCUUGGAGCAUUUUCCCCUUUGCUUCACUGCAUGCAGAGCAACAAAUGGUCGCAUCCUGAGGGUUCCUGGCUGGAACCGUGUCCAUCAUUGGGAGUCAUUUUUCUGCUGCUGCCCUUCCAGCUGUGGGUGUUAUGCUGGCAUCUGUAUGUGAAAGAUGAAGGUUUGUGGUCUGACUUCAUGCCUUGCUCAGGAAACUCCCCCCUCAGCCCCCUCACCUCCAGUUGUUUGGCUGAGACUCAGUUCAUCUUUAUUGCUAUUUUUCUGAUUUUCCUCCGGGCUCCUAAUGGCUGUGAUUACACCAAAUGCAGAGCAUUUCAUGUACUGUAGGAAUGAUUUCCAGGCCCAACUGCCUUGCUCAAUGCUUGAGGAUCAUUAAAGACAUUACUUUUUAUAAGCCAGUUUUUUUUUUACCUGCCCCAAUCUACUUCCAAUUCUAUGCUAACCUGCAAAGUAAUAAAAUUGCUGAAUUUA